rnacentral:rRNA from 1 species
GACGAACGCUGGCUGCGUGCCUAAUCCAUGCCAGUAGGACGGAGCGGCGGACGGGUGAGUAAUACCUAGGAAUCUGCCUGGUAGUGGGGGAUAACGUCCGGAAACGGGCGCUAAUACCGCAUACUAUCAGAUGAGCCUAGGUCGGAUUAGCUAGUUGGUGGGGUAAAUGCCUACCAAGGCGACGAUCCGUACCGGGUCUGAGAGGAUGAUCAGUCACACUGGAACUGAGACACGGUCCAGACUCGUACGUGAGGCAGCAGUGGGGAAUAUUGGACAAUGGGCGAAAGCCUGAUCCAGCCAUGCCGCGUGUGUGAAGAAGGUCUUCGGAUUGUAAAGCACUUGAAGUUGGGAGGCGUUACCAACAGAAUAAGCACCGGCUAACUUCGUGCCAGCAGCCGCGGUAAUAC